rnacentral:tRNA from 3 species
GGGCCCGUAGCUCAGCUAGGUAGAGCGGCGGGCUUUUAACCCGUAGGUCCCGGGUUCAAAUCCCGGCGGGCCCGCCA